UACGGAGGGUGCAAGCGUUAUCCGGAUUUACUGGGUUUAAAGGGUGCGCAGGCGGUUAUGUAAGUCAGUGGUGAAAUCUCCGGGCUUAACCCGGAAAUUGCCGUUGAUACUAUAUAUCUUGAAUGCUGUGGAGGUAAGCAGAAUAUGUCAUGUAGCGGUGAAAUGCUUAGAUAUGACAUAGAAUACCUAUUGCGAAGGCAGCUUACUACGCAGAUAUUGACGCUCAUGCACGAAAGCGUGGGGAUCAAACAGG
rnacentral:rRNA from 1 species